AUGAUCAAGUAAUGAUGUAGACUGCGCGUGCUCGGUUUACAGUUUUUCAUAAUGGCGUUGAUUGUGCCCAGUGAUUCUAACUAAAAAAGUUAAGUUUGUGGUGAAGGUUUGAACGUGAACGGAAUUAAUUUUUUUUGUAUAGUUUAUGGCUGCAAAUAAUUGAAAAAGAAAUUUAAGUUCGAAUGUCCAUGUCUGGGAGAUUAACCAGGAAUCGGCUAUUAGUAAGGAUUAGUGGUUUUUUUUAAUCAUCCAGAUGCUGAAUAUUUCACGAUCUGCUUCCUGAAUUAUAUUUUAAGAUUGUUCAACUGCAUUGGGAACGGAAAAUUCAAGAGAAUUGAACACCACAAGUUAAUCAGAUGGUGAAUGGAUAAAAAAGCAGCGCUGAAAGAGGGCGAGGUCAUGGCGAGACGGCUCCGUUGAGUUCUGGCCUCCCUGUUGCCUCUGCUGCAACACUUGGCCCCUCCCACCCUCUCCCUCCCCUCUUUCUCUCUCUCUCUCCCUCCCUCUCUCUCUCCUCUCCCCCUCUCCCUCUACCUUCUUCCUCCUCCUUUCCCCACCUUACAUCCUCCACCACCACCACCCCCACCAGCAGGAGGAGGAGGAGGAGGAGGUAAACACAAAAAUUAACGAAGAUAAGAAUACGAGGAAAGACGUCGUCUCCUUGAAUCCGUAAAGAGGCUCCUUACUUCCUUCCUUCCUUCCUUCCUUCCUUCCUUAUCCACCCCAUAACCCUCCCC